rnacentral:lncRNA from 1 species
UAUAUAGAAAAGCAACUAGUUGAAGCUAGUCACCAUCUUCUAUAUUUUGCAUUCCAGAAACGUUGAGUCAUUUGAAAAGGCAGAAGAAAUUGAACCGUGAAAAUUAUAUACCAGCAGCUCCAUAGAAUGUGUCAAUAUUCAGAUUAUCAAUGAAUCAGAGAUGAAUGCUUAAGUUUGCUUUGGAAAAGAGACUAAACAACACAUAGAGGCUGAGUGUCAAAGAAUUUCAUUAAAGAAUCAAAAUAUGUGCAGAAUAAGAAUGACCACAAAAGAUUAUUUUUCCAGCUGUAUUACACAGAAUACAAGUUCUACAAGAGAUUCUGAAUCAAAAGUAUUUCAUGAUUAAAAUAUGUAAAAAAACAAAAUAAAAACUUCAGACUAAAGUACCCUCUAGAGGACUCUAGAAGACAUUAGCUUAUUACAGGAUCUUGAUUGAACAACAACAACAAAAAAAGAACCUAUUUAACUUUGCUUAAUUUAGUGUGUCUCAAAUAUAUCUAACAGCAACUAAACUUUUUUAGCAACACCUAGCAAAAUAAUUGUACACCUCAAAUAUAUGCCAAGAAAUACUAACCUAGUUAAUUUUUUUUUCAUUUUAAAGACAAUGGAAGAAAGACUCAGAAAAGUUUGCAAAAUGUUCAAGUCAACAAAACUACUUAGUUGCAGAACCAGACUACAACUCAGGGUAUCAUGGCAGCUUACAAGUCUGGAACAUUCUUCUGCUCUGCCUUCAGUGUCUCCAAAUCCCUGGGGAAGGAUAACAUUGCAAACAUAACCACAAAUUUGUUUCUUGGCAUUCUCCUUCAUACUACCUGUAAGGAAAAUUUAUUACCUAUCACAGUAGGUAAUGGUUGAUUACCAUUAACCAGGUAAUGGUUGAUUCUUAACCAGAUAGGCAGGGUGCUAAGGGAGAUCAGGAAUGGAUGUUGAUGGAAUUUGUAGGGCAAGGAGAGGUAUAUUUUUAAAGCAUAGUAAAUGUUAAAGUAUACUUUUUAUUUAGAAAGAAAUAAUUCCUAAUAAUGUUUCAUUUUUUAAAAAUAUUUAUUUAUUUAUUUGAGAGAGAAAGAGGGAAAGAGCUCAUCUGAGUGGGGGGAGGAGCAGAGGGAGAGGGAGAGAAAACCUCAAGCAGACUUCCUACUUAGUGGGGAGACCAAAGCGGGGCUUGAUUCCAGGACCCUAAGAUAUGACCUGAGCUGAAAUCAAGAGUUGGGUGCUUAACCCAGUGAGUCUCCCAGGUGCCCCAAUGUUUCAUAUUUUAAAUAAAAAAAAGAAUAUGACAUUGUUGUUUACCUAAAGUACAUAUGGAUUUUAAAAGUUUGCACAACACCAACAAUAAGAAUAUAUAUAAAAGGGGGUGCCUGGGUGGCUCAUUCGGUUAAGUGUUUACCUUCAGCUCAGGUCAUGAACCCAGAGUUCUGGAAUUGAGCCCCAGGUUAGGGUCUCUGCAGCUUGUUUCUCACUCUCCCUCUGCCCCCUACCCUCACUUGUGGUCUAUCUCAAAUAAAUAAAUAAUCUUUUUUUAAAUAAUUUUUAUAAAGGGAACAUAAUCUUGCCUUAUAUUAGGCUUUCUGGAGGAAAUGACAUUUAGUCCCACAAUGAACAAUUAGCAGUCAGCUAGUCAAGCCAAAGCAGGAGUGGUUGAAGUGUGUUCCAGGCAGAGACAGUAGUAAAUUUUAAGGACCAGAGACAUGGGGCAGCCCCGGUGGCCCAGCGGUUUAGCACCGCCUUCGGCCCAGGGCAUGGUCCUGGAGACCUGGAAUCAAGUCCCACGUUGGGCUCCCUGUGCGGAGCCUGCUUCUCCCUCUGCCUGUGUCUCUGAUUCUCUCUCUCUCAAGAAUAAAUAAAUAAAAUUUUUAAAAAAUAAGCACAAAUAAUAAUUAUACUAGAAGCAUAAAUAAUAAUAGAAACAAAAAUGAUACUAAUAAUGCAGUACUUUCUGUAUCCCAGGUACUGUGCUAGAAACUACACGCCUUAUCUCAUAAGUGUAUCCCAUGAGUUAGAUACUAUUAAUAUCCUAAUUUGACCGAUCAGUAAACUAAUCCUUAGAGAGAUUAAGUAAAUUGCCCCUGGCCAGAUAGCGUGUGAUCAAAAUUAGAAUUCAAAUCCAGGUCUGUAUGAGGUCCAAAACCUAACUUUUAACUCUGUAUUUUCUGAUAUUUCUAGUUACCUGUUUUAUGGCACUUAUUAUAUACUUGGAACUGUGCCAGUCAAUAUAUAAACAUUACAUUAUCUAAUCUUCAAACAAAUCUAUCAAAAGGUAACAUUAUCCAUAUUUUACAGAUGAAGAAACCAAAGCACACAAUAUUUAGUUGCCAAUGGUUAUACUAAUAGAAAGAAGCUGAAGAUUCAGAUCUAAAUGUGUCUGAUUCUAAAUCUAUGUGUUUAGCUACAAUCUAUACCAUUAGAAUAUGAUAACAUCAAUCAGUAGCUCCCUAUUCCCCAUGGAACUCCAUGGUGCUGAGUCUUCAAAAGACAACCAUUCAUGGUUUCUAAGGUAGAGGUCCAUUGCUUCAAGUGCUUAUCCACUAACACCUUCUCAGAGAUGGGUUGACAGUCACCUGAGAGCUGAGGGAAUAGAGCUCCAGAAUGACACUGGGAUCAGCACAGCUGUGAAGAUCUGGUAUAGAAUCCAGUAGGGAAAUCUAGGGAAUAGAGAUCAUGUGUGAAGCACAGGGAUCUUUUUCUCUCUCUCUCCUCCUACAGUGUUUCAAGUCUCUGAUUCCAAGAAUAUAGAAAGAAUGGGGAAUUAUUAUAAGAAAACAGCUGCAACAUCAAGUUUCCUACUUCCUAACAUCUCAGUUUACUUCAGACUCCAAGCCACAAAAGCCUCCCCAAGGUUAAUCUUGUGGAUUAUAGUCACAUUUCCUCUGUUCUGCCCAGAAGCAAGGGGAUGGGCCUCAUGAAACUAAAUGCCCUUUACUCAGCUGCAAGAUACAAUCAUAAAGAUCAAAUAAAUCCAAAUACAGUGUUUUCUAAAUAUAUUUCAUGGAGCAUGUAAGACACUCCUUGAAAAAAGUUCCACAGACAAUUAAGUGUUGGAAAUGCUGCAUAAUGCCUCAAAGAUAGGGUGACCUAUAAUUAAUCACCCAAACUAGGCCACUUCUGAGUGCCAAAGGGGAUGUUGUUAAUAAUUACACUGAGACAGCAAGCACAUACGGGAAAUGUCCUGGGUAAAUUGAGACUUAUGGUUAGUCUGCUGUUUAACCCAGAACUUUCCACAUUAGUUUGGCCACAGAACAUCUUUUCCCUCUUGCAACACCUGCAAACCUCAUAAGAGACCAUUAUUCCACAGAAUAUACUUUAGGGAACACUAAAGUUACAGGUCUUAGGAGGUCUGCAUGAAAUGCAAUAGACCAAUGCUUUCCCACCAUUUCUUGUCAAUGCUUACCUUGGAAGGAAGUGUUAAUAUAUUUGUAGUACAAAAAGGGAAAUGAACAGGGCUCCUUGUAGCUAGAAAAGACUGGCCAAGGAAGUAGAAUGUUUGAGGGGAUUACUAUCUCAGCACUCCUGUAAUCCUCUGAUACAUACAGAAAUUAGGCAUAUAGGUCAUGAAGCUGUAAAUAGACUAAAACAUGCCCACAAAUGACCUCUGUGUGUUUCUCUUCCUUGAAGAUCAAUUGCAGAUGAUUCAGUUAAAAGAAGGCAAUGAAGGACUUAGAAAAAAAUUUUGCCCUUUUAGCCUCCUGCCCUAUUUUGUUGCUAAGGAUUUGGUUCCAUAUCAAAAAUCUUGAAAGUUAUGGGAAAUGCAACAAAUCUCUUGACUGACUCAAUCUAUCCAUCAAGACACUGAAAAAAAAAAAAAAAAAAA